GAUGAACGCUGGCGGCGUGCCUAAUACAUGCAAGUCGAGCGAACAGACGAGGAGCUUGCUCCUCUGACGUUAGCGGCGGACGGGUGAGUAACACGUGGAUAACCUACCUAUAAGACUGGGGUAACUUCGGGAAACCGGAGCUAAUACCGGAUAAUAUAUUGAACCGCAUGGUUCAAUAGUGAACGACGGUUUUGCUGUCACUUAUAGAUGGAUCCGCGCCGCAUUAGCUAGUUGGUAAGGUAACGGCUUACCAAGGCAACGAUGCGUAGCCGACCUGAGAGGGUGAUCGGCCACACUGGAACUGAGACACGGUCCAGACUCCUACGGGAGGCAGCAGUAGGGAAUCUUCCGCAAUGGGCGAAAGCCUGACGGAGCAACGCCGCGUGAGUGAUGAAGGUCUUCGGAUCGUAAAACUCUGUUAUUAGGGAAGAACAAAUGUGUAAGUAACUAUGCACGUCUUGACGGUACCUAAUCAGAAAGCCACGGCUAACUACGUG
rnacentral:rRNA from 1 species